GACGAACGCUGGCGGCGUGCCUGAUACAUGCAAGUCGAGCGAGCAAAGUUAAAGGAAUACUUCGGUAGGAAUUUAAUAGCGCGAGCGGCGGAUGGGUGAGUAACACGUGGGCAAUCUACCCUUUAGCUUGGGAUACCACUUGGAAACAGGUGCUAAUACCAAAUAAGAAGUAAGAGCGCAUGCUCAAGCUAUGAAAGGCGGCUUUCGAGCUGUCACUAAAGGAUGAGCCCGCGGUGCAUUAGCUAGUUGGUAAGGUAACGGCUUACCAAGGCAAUGAUGCAUAGCCGAGUUGAGAGACUGAUCGGCCACAUUGGGACUGAGACACGGCCCAAACUCCUACGGGAGGCAGCAGUAGGGAAUCUUCCACAAUGGACGCAAGUCUGAUGGAGCAACGCCGCGUGAGUGAAGAAGGUUUUCGGAUCGUAAAGCUCUGUUGUUGGUGAAGAAGGACAUGGAUAGUAACUGAUCUAUGUUUGACGGUAAUCAACCAGAAAGUCACGGCUAACUACGUGCCAGCAGCCGCGGUAAUACGUAGGUGGCAAGCGUUGUCCGGAUUUAUUGGGCGUAAAGCGAACGCAGGCGGGAGAACAAGUCAGCUGUGAAAGCCCUCGGCUUAACCGAGGAACGGCAACUGAAACUGUUUUUCUUGAGUGCAGAAGAGGAGAGUGGAACUCCAUGUGUAGCGGUGAAAUGCGUAGAUAUAUGGAAGAACACCAGUGGCGAAGGCGGCUCUCUGGUCUGUAACUGACGCUGAGGUUCGAAAGCAUGGGUAGCGAACAGGAUUAGAUACCCUGGUAGUCCAUGCCGUAAACGAUGAGUGCUAAGUGUUGGGAGGUUUCCGCCUCUCAGUGCUGCAGCUAACGCAUUAAGCACUCCGCCUGGGGAGUACGACCGCAAGGUUAAAACUCAAAGGAAUUGACGGGGGCCCGCACAAGCGGUGGAGCAUGUGGUUUAAUUCGAAGCAACGCGAAGAACCUUACCAGGUCUUGACAUCUAGUGCCAACCCUAAAAGAUAGGGUGUUUCCUUCGGGAA
rnacentral:rRNA from 1 species